rnacentral:rRNA from 1 species
AUACCAGGUGUAUGCGACUGUUUAUCAAAAACACAGCACUCUGCGAAAUCGUAAGAUGAAGUAUAGGUUGUGACGCCUGCCCGGUGCUGGAAGGUUAAUUGAAGGGGUUAGAGCAAGCGAAGCUCUGGAUCGAAGACCCAGUAAACGGCGGCCGUAACUAUAACGGUCCUAAGGUAG